rnacentral:rRNA from 1 species
UGGAGAGUUUGAUCCUGGCUCAGAUUGAACGCUGGCGGCAGGCCUAACACAUGCAAGUCGAACGGUAACAGGAWGUGCUUGCACWUCGCUGACGAGUGGCGGACGGGUGAGUAAUGCUUGGGAACUUGCCUUUGCGAGGGGGAUAACAGUUGGAAACGACUGCUAAUACCGCAUAACGUCUACGGACCAAAGGGGGCUUMGGCUCCCGCGUGAAGAGAGGCCCAAGUGAGAUUAGCUAGAUGGUGAGGUAAAGGCUCACCAUGGCGACGAUCUCUAGCUGUUCUGAGAGGAAGAUCAGCCACACUGGGACUGAGACACGGCCCAGACUCCUACGGGAGGCAGCAGUGGGGAAUAUUGCACAAUGGGGGAAACCCUGAUGCAGCCAUGCCGCGUGUGUGAAGAAGGCCUUCGGGUUGUAAAGCACUUUCAGUUGUGAGGAAGGGUUGGUAGUUAAUACCUGCCAACAUUGACGUUAGCAACAGAAGAAGCACCGGCUAACUCCGUGCCAGCAGCCGCGGUA